AUUGAACGCUGGCGGCUGGCCUAACACAUGCAAGUCGAGCGGAUGUAGGUAGCUUGCUCCUUUAUUCAGCGGCGGACGGGUGAGUAAUGCCUAGGAAUCUGCCUGGUAUUGGUGGAUAACGUCCGAAAACGGUCGCUAAUACCGCUUACGUCAUGAGGCAGAAUUUGGGUGUUCUUCUUACCUCCUUCUUUCAGCUUUCCCUUGGUCGGAUUAGCUAGUUGGUGGGGUAAAGCCCUACCAAGGCGACGUUCCGUAACUGGGCUGAGAGUAUGAUCAGUCAAACUGGAACUGAGACAAGGGCCAGACUCCUACGGGAGGCAGCAGUGGGGAAUAUUGGAAAAUGGGAGAAAGCCUGAUCUAGACACGCGGCGUGUGUGAAGAAGGUCUUCGGAUAUGAAAACACAUUAAGUAGGGAGGAAAGGAAGUAAGUUAAUAACUUGCUGUUUUGACGUUACCAAAUGAAUAAGCAAAGGCUAACUUCGUG
rnacentral:rRNA from 1 species